rnacentral:rRNA from 2 species
AGACGGGUGAGUAACGCGUGGGAACGUACCAUUUGCUACGGAAUAACUCAGGGAAACUUGUGCUAAUACCGUAUGUGCCCUUCGGGGGAAAGAUUUAUCGGCAAAUGAUCGGCCCGCGUUGGAUUAGCUAGUUGGUGGGGUAAAGGCCUACCAAGGCGACGAUCCAUAGCUGGUCUGAGAGGAUGAUCAGCCACACUGGGACUGAGACACGGCCCAGACUCCUACGGGAGGCAGCAGUGGGGAAUAUUGGACAAUGGGCGCAAGCCUGAUCCAGCCAUGCCGCGUGAGUGAUGAAGGCCCUAGGGUUGUAAAGCUCUUUCACCGGUGAAGAUAAUGACGGUAACCGGAGAAGAAGCCCCGGCUAACUUCGUGCCAGCAGCCGCGGUAAUACGAAGGGGGCUAGCGUUGUUCGGAUUUACUGGGCGUAAAGCGCACGUAGGCGGGCUAAUAAGUCAGGGGUGAAAUCCCGGGGCUCAACCCCGGAACUGCCUUUGAUACUGUUAGUCUUGAGUAUGGUAGAGGUGAGUGGAAUUCCGAGUG